CAGUCGCCGCGGGAAUACGGAGGAUCCAAGCGUUAUCCGGAUUUAUUGGGUUUAAAGGGUGCGUAGGUGGCCUGUUAAGUCAGGGGUGAAAGACGGUAGCUUAACUAUCGCAGUGCCCUUGAUACUGAUGGGCUUGAAUGAACUGGAGGUAGGCGGAAUGUGACAAGUAGCGGUGAAAUGCAUAGAUAUGUCACAGAACACCAAUUGCGAAGGCAGCUUACUAUGGUUUUAUUGACACUGAGGCACGAAAGCGUGGGGAUCAAACAGGAUUAGAUACCCCAGUAGUCCCUGUCUCUUAUAC
rnacentral:rRNA from 1 species